rnacentral:rRNA from 1 species
UGACGGUACCGUGAGAAUAAGCCACGGCUAACUCUGUGCCAGCAGCCGCGGUAAGACAGAGGUGGCAAGCGUUGUUCGGAAUUACUGGGCGUAAAGAGUCUGUAGGUGGUUUGUCAAGUCUUUGGUGAAAGGCCGUAGCUUAACUAUGGGAAUGCCAAAGAGACUGGCAGGCUGGAGGCUGGGAGAGGGAAGCGGAAUUUCUGGUGUAGCGGUGAAAUGCGUAGAUAUCAGAAGGAAGGCCGGUGGCGAAGGCGGCUUCCUGGAACAGUCCUGACACUGAGAGACGAAAGCGUGGGGAGCAAACAGGAUUAGAUACCCUGGUAGUCCACGCCCUAAACGAUGGGUACUAAGUGUGGAGGGGUUAAACCCUCCGUGCCGCAGCAAACGC